AGAUGUGAUUUCUGAGGUGGAGGUGGAACCACUGAAUGGUUCACAUCAUGGCGUCAUUGCUGCAGCAGUGCUGGUGGCUGUACUCAUCUUUGCCCUGCUGGCAGGAGCAAUGUGGUUUGUGUACAAGAGGAACUAUGCACGCUUUCGUGGGAUCCCGAUUCUGGGAAGUGCUUAUUACAGACAAACAGGCUCCCAGUCUUUAGAGUCAGAUGGAAAUGUGCUGAUGACGGACCUGGAGGCUCACUCAGGAGAAUAGCUCUCAGCGGCUCCCCUUUCCUAUUUAAAAGUGUUCUCCAUCUCUCAUCCGCUUCAUCAUCAGGUACGAAUGCCACAAGACACUGUAAAGCUUUGAUGCUGACUCCUCAGGACAGUGGUGAGACGAUGACAGCAAAAUAUUUCUUUGGUUCAUCCAAGGAAAGGUGUUAGAAGGACCCCAGUCGACCUCUGUCCGCAGUUUUCAUUUACUCAAACCAUCUCUAUGGGACGUGCUUGUGAAGAUAUUUCCUGUAUUGACACUGAAUAUAAUGCAUUUGAAAUUCUGUUGUUUGAAGUAGAUGAACAAAGUUCACACAAAUGAAAAUGUUGAAGAAGGGAUGCUAGCGAUCUUUGUAAAGGAGAUACUAAACAAUUACUGUCAGUAAGAGGAUUUAGUGUGAUUGGGUCACACUUUAUUGG